GGCUGUGGCUUAUUGGUAUAGUGCUUGCCUAGCAUGUGUGAGGCACUGGGUUUGAUUCUCAGCACCA
rnacentral:tRNA from 1 species